rnacentral:lncRNA from 1 species
AUGGCACAGCGGUGGGUGAGAGCCACUCCCCAGGGGCGGAGCCUGUGCUGGGGAUGUGGGGGAGGCCCUCAAAGCUGCUGCCCCUUCCCUCCUCCCCGCUCCUCUCCGAGACCCCAGACGCCGGUUCCCACGCGAGCGCAGGAGAGGAUGAGCGCCAGAGCCCCGAGUUCUGCUGCCAACUCCGCCGCAGCUCACCAGGGGACCCCGCGCAGAGCCGGUCCCUCUCCCAGCUCGGAAGCGCCGCCCUCCCCCGCCUGCAGUGCGGUCCCUCCCCAGAGGCACGGUCAGGCAGUCGAGAUACCGCCUGAACACUUCCUUUCUCCUCGGCCCCGAUCGAACAUGAGCCAGCUGCAUCUUUGUCCUAAAACUCCACUCCUGGGCUGGAACCUUUGCAGGGAGCUCAGCUUCUCCUGGCUGCGUGAGUUUCCCUUGCAGGUACAAGGGUCCUUAGAGACGGAGGGCUGCCCGUUAGCCUUCUGCGUGCCUCUCUGGCCCCCACGCCCAGCUGCAUCUGGGCACAGGUGGGGGUCGCGCUCCCAGCCUUUCGUGCCUCCACGCCCAGCUCCCCUACCCUGCCGCACCCCUCCCGCCAGGCACCCAUCAAAACUGCACUUUGAAACUGGCAGAUUGGGAAACGCCUGCCCAGUGAACCUCCAUAAACUGCGCGGCUCUGGGCGCUGGGAUCAAAGCCUCGGGCUCGGGUGCGACGUGGCGACCUUUCUCCCAGACAGGGCCCCUCCAAGGCUGGCAGAGGCGCGUCUGUCCCCCGGCCCCUUUCAUCUUCUAACAGGGCAACGGAGGCUCAGGAAGCCACACGGGCACUCACAGCCACGUGGAGAGCUGCCAGGGGCGUGAACUCGGGUCCCCUAAAAUCCAAUCUGGUGCCUUAUCGGCCACGGCACACCCAGAGGCCUCAAGAGGGUCUUAUCCCGGGGACCCAGAAGCCUGGUGCCCAGCGCAGCAUCCACUGGUCUGCAGAGUGACCUUAGCCAAGUCACUUCCUCUCCAUGCACAGCUUCUUCCGCUGUGGAGUGGGGAGGGCGGCCAUGCUGGCGGGAGGAUCACAGCAGGUGCUGGAGACUGGCUGUCCCUGCAAGCAGACCCCCCCCCCAUCAGAGUCCUUGCCCCCAAGCCAGGUGACCCAGGCCCACCCAGCUCCUGGGAGGAGGACGCCUCUGCUCCGGAGCUGCAGUAACUCCCAGGGACACCAGGUGGCAGUCGAGAGACUGGCUGCUGGGAGCCGCAGCCCAGCCCAGCCUCCGAGUCACAAAGAGCCAGCCACAGGGCUGGGGCGAGGAGCCAGGCGCGGGCUGGAUCGGGCCCUCCUGAGUGCUCCUGCUUCCCAGCGGCACCCAGGGUGGAGCUGGGAAGGCAGACGCCUGCAGGGGAGGCAGGAAGGCCCGGGAGCUGCUGGCCCUGCGGCCCAUCGUGUUCCCGGAACAGCACCCUGCUGUGUGCCUUCCCCAGUCUCUGACAACCAGGGGCGAGCUAGGAGGAACCAGAAUAGGGACAGGCACCAGACACAGCCCUGCACACACAGCAAGGUGACAGUGCUGCUCCCUGCGCCCGGAAAGCGCCUGGCAGGAAGGGGCUGGAACUAUUCACAGUGGCUCCGGGCCUGGGGAGGUUCUGGGUGAUUUUCAUUCUCCUUUCGAACUCUUCUCUAGCCAUUCUGUUUCUAACAAAAUACGCAUUACUUUAUCCUGGAAAAAAUGUGCUUUUGUAAAGGAGGAGGAAAGACAUUAACUGUCAAGAGGCUUUUUUUUAAAAGUAUUUUUGAAAAGUAUUAUUUGAGAGUGGGGGGGGGUGGGUGGAGAGAAACAAGAGCUCCCACCCACUGGUUCACUCUGCACAU